rnacentral:rRNA from 1 species
UACGGAGGGGGCUAGCGUUAUUCGGACUCACUGGGCGUAAAGGGUGCGCAGGCGGCCAAGUGUGUUAGGCGUGAAAGCCCGGGGCUUAACCCCGGAAUUGCACCUAAAACUACAUGGCUAGAGCAUUGGAGAGGGUAGCGGAAUUCACGGUGUAGCAGUGAAAUGCGUAGAUAUCGUGAGGAACACCAGAGGCGAAGGCGGCUACCUGGACAAUUGCUGACGCUCAGGCACGAAAGCCAGGGGAGCAAACGGG